rnacentral:rRNA from 1 species
AUUGAACGCUGGCGGCAGGCCUAACACAUGCAAGUCGGGCGGAGUGGCGAACGGGUGAGUAAUACGUGGGUAACCUGCCCUCCUUUUUGGGAUAAGCCUUGGAAACGGGGUCUAAUACCGAAUAAAGGGGGAUGGGCUCGGGGCCUAUAAGAUUGUUGGUGGGGUGUUGGCAUACCAAGGCGGUGAAGGGUAGCCGGCCUGAGAGGGUGACCGGCCCCAUUGGGACUGGGAUACGGCCCAGGUUCCUACGGGAGGCAGCAGUGGGGGAUUUUGCACAAUGUGGGAAAACCUGAUGCAGCGACGCCGCGUGGGGGAUGAAGGCUUUCGGGUUUUAAACCGCUUUCGCUAUCGAAGGGGUAGGUGGAGAAGAAGCGCCGGCUAACUACGUGCCAGCAGCCGCGGUAAUAC